AUAAAGAAAGUAAGCAAGGGCGCAUGGCGGAUGCCUUGGCUCUCGGAGGCGAUGAAGGACGUGAUAAGCUGCGAUAAGCUUCGGGGAGGUGCAAAUAACCUUUGAUCCGGAGAUUUCCGAAUGGGACAACCCAAUAUCUUGAAGAGAUAUUAUCCAACUUGGUUGGAGGCUAACGCAGGGAACUGAAACAUCUUAGUACCUGCAGGAAAAGAAAAUAAUAAUGAUUCCCCCAGUAGUGGCGAGCGAACGGGGAAUAGCCCAAACCGGUUAUGUUACGGCAUGACCGGGGUAGUAGGACUACGACAUUGCAUGAAAACAACAGAGAAGAACUUUCUGGAAAGAAAGACCAUAGAGCAUGACAGUUGCGUAUUCGAAUGU
rnacentral:rRNA from 1 species